rnacentral:rRNA from 1 species
GAAUAUUGCACAAUGGGCGAAAGCCUGAUGCAGCGACGCCGCGUGAGGGAUGACGGCCUUCGGGUUGUAAACCUCUUUCAGCAGGGAAGAAGCGCAAGUGACGGUACCUGCAGAAGAAGCACCGGCUAACUACGUGCCAGCAGCCGCGGUAAUACGUAGGGUGCGAGCGUUGUCCGGAAUUAUUGGGCGUAAAGAGCUCGUAGGCGGUCUGUCGCGUCUGCUGUGAAAACCCGGGGCUCAACUCCGGGCUUGCAGUGGAUACGGGCAGACUAGAGUUCGGUAGGGGAGACUGGAAUUCCUGGUGUAGCGGUGAAAUGCGCAGAUAUCAGGAGGAACACCGGUGGCGAAGGCGGGUCUCUGGGCCGAUACUGACGCUGAGGAGCGAAAGCGUGGGGAGCGAACAG